rnacentral:rRNA from 1 species
UUGACCUCGGAUCAGGUAGGAAUACCCGAUCAGGUAGGA